rnacentral:rRNA from 1 species
GCGGAAAGCGUCUGCAGGUGGUUUCUUAAGUCUACUGUUAAAUCUUGAGGCUCAACCUCAAAUCUGCAGUAGAAACUAGGAGACUUGAGUAUAGUAGGGGUAGAGGGAAUUUCCAGUGGAGCGGUGAAAUGCGUAGAUAUUGGAAAGAACACCGAUGGCGAAGGCACUCUACUGGGCUAUUACUGACACUCAGAGACGAAAGCUAGGGGAGCAAAUGGGAUUAGAUACCCCAGUAGUCCUAGCCGUAAACGAUGGAUACUCGAUGUUGGACGUAUCGACCCGUUCAGUAUCUUAGCUAACGCGUUAAGUAUCCCGCCUGGGGAGUACGCUCGCAAGAGUGAAACCCAAAGGAAUUGACGGGGGCCCGCACAAGCGGUGGAGGAUGUGGUUUAAUUCGAUGCAACGCGAAGAACCUUACCAGGGUUUGCUAGAAGUGUUGGUUUUCUGAAAAGAAUUCCUUAUUCCGCUUCUACAGGUGGUGCAUGGCUGUCGUCAGCUCGUGUCGUGAGAUGUUGGGUUAAGUCCCGCAACGAGCGCAACCCUUAUUUUUAGUUCUAUUGUCUAGAAAGACUGCCGGUGACAAACCGGAGGAAGGUGAGGACGACGUCAAGUCAUCAUGCCCCUUACACCCUGGGCUACACACGUCCUACAAUGGGUAAGACAAUAAGUUGCAAAUUCGCGAGAAUAAGCUAAUCUUUGAAACUUACUCCAAGUACAGAUUGCAGGCUGCAACUCGCCUGCAUGAAG